rnacentral:rRNA from 1 species
AUUGAACGCUGGCGGCAGGCCUAACACAUGCAAGUCGAACGAGUGGCGGACGGGUGAGUAAUGUCUGGGAAACUGCCCGAUGGAGGGGGAUAACUACUGGAAACGGUAGCUAAUACCGCAUACCAUCGGAUGUGCCCCGAUGGGAUUAGCUAGUAGGUGGGGUAACGGCUCACCUAGGCGACGAUCCCUAGCUGGUCUGAGAGGAUGACCAGCCACACUGGAACGGAGCAACGGUCCAGACUCCUACGGGAGGCAGCAGGGGGAAAGAUUGGACAAGGGGGGCAAGCCGGAGGCAGCCAUGCGGAGUGUAGGAAGAGGGCCUUCGGGUUGUAAAGUACGUUCAGCGAGGAGGCGUUACUCGCAGAAGAAGCACCGGCUAACUCCGUGCCAGCAGCCGCGGUAAUAC